rnacentral:rRNA from 1 species
UCGAUUUGGAGUUUGUUGCCCUGAGUGAUGGGCUCCGAAGCUAACGCGAUAAAUCGACCGCCUGGGGAGUACGGCCGCAAGGUUAAAACUCAAAUGAAUUGACGGGGGCCCGCACAAGCGGUGGAGCAUGUGGUUUAAUUCGAUGCAACGCGAAGAACCUUACCUGGUCUUGACAUCCACAGAAUCUUGCAGAGAUGCGAGAGUGCCUUCGGGAACUGUGAGACAGGUGCUGCAUGGCUGUCGUCAGCUCGUGUUGUGAAAUGUUGGGUUAAGUCCCGCAACGAGCGCAACCCUUAUCCUUUGUUGCCAGCGAUUCGGUCGGGAACUCAAAGGAGACUGCCGUUGAUAAAGCGGAGGAAGGUGGGGACGACGUCAAGUCAUCAUGGCCCUUACGACCAGGGCUACACACGUGCUACAAUGGCGUAUACAAAGGGAGGCGACCUCGCGAGAGCAAGCGGACCUCAUAAAGUACGUCUAAGUCCGGAUUGGAGUCUGCAACUCGACUCCAUGAAGUCGGAAUCGCUAGUAAUCGUGAAUCAGAAUGUCACGGUGAAUACGUUCCCGGGCCU